rnacentral:rRNA from 1 species
GGCGUAAAGGGCGCGUAKGCGGAUUAGUAAGUUAAAAGUGAAAUCCCAAGGCUCAACCUUGGAAUUGCUUUUAAAACUGCUAAUCUAGAGAUUGAAAGAGGAUAGAGGAAUUCCUAGUGUAGAGGUGAAAUUCGUAAAUAUUAGGAGGAACACCAGUGGCGAAGGCGUCUAUCUGGUUCAAAUCUGACGCUGAGGCGCGAAGGCGUGGGGAGCAAACAGGAUUAGAUACCCUGGUAGUCCACGCUGUAAACGAUGAAUGUUAAAUAUGGGAAGUUUUACUUUCUGUAUUACAGCU